rnacentral:misc_RNA from 1 species
AAGUCGUAACAAGGUCUCCGUAGGUGAACCUGCGGAGGGAUCAUUACUGAGUGCGGGGGUUAGUUGUUCCCCCGACCUCCAACCCUUUGUGCAAUCAUAAUCUUGUUGCUUCGGGGGUCGACCCUGGCCAUUCCGUGGCCAUUCCCCCGGAGGUCCAUCAAACAACUGCAUUCUUACGUCGGAGCAAAAAGUUAAUUUAAUAAAA